ensembl:snoRNA small nucleolar RNA SNORA14
GAGCACCCUCAUAAACCCCCCGGUCUCCUCCUGUGGUCUCUGGGACAAGAGAGGGUGCGAGAUCAAUCUUAGAAUCAUCCAAAGCUGAGUGCUGAGUGUCCGUAGCUCUCGGUUAUUUCACCUCUAAGACAGAA